AGUGAACGCUGGCGGUAGGCCUAACACAUGCAAGUCGAACGGCAGCACAGUAAGAGCUUGCUCUUACGGGUGGCGAGUGGCGAACGGGUGAGGAAUACAUCGGAAUCUACUUUUUCGUGGGGGAUAACGUAGGGAAACUUACGCUAAUACCGCAUACGACCUACGGGUGAAAGCAGGGGAUCUUCGGACCUUGCGCGAUUGAAUGAGCCGAUGUCGGAUUAGCUAGUUGGCGGGGUAAAGGCCCACCAAGGCGACGAUCCGUAGCUGGUCUGAGAGGAUGAUCAGCCACACUGGAACUGAGACACGGUCCAGACUCCUACGGGAGGCAGCAGUGGGGAAUAUUGGACAAUGGGCGCAAGCCUGAUCCAGCCAUACCGCGUGGGUGAAGAAGGCCUUCGGGUUGUAAAGCCCUUUUGUUGGGAAAGAAAAGCAGCAGGUUAAUACCCCGCUGUUCUGACGGUACCCAAAGAAUAGGCACCGGCUAACUUCGUG
rnacentral:rRNA from 1 species